GUGAGGCAGGCAGCGGAUCUGCGCGUAGUUGCCAGGACCUCAAGAGCCGCCACCUCUGCGUGCGGUUGUUGGGAUCGCAUGGGGCGCCACCUCCAUGCCACGCCGCAAACUCUGUGUCGAUGGUCAAGGUGAGCCAGAGCGCCACAGCAAAGUGCUCGGCAGCGAGGGCCUCUGAAGCGCACCAGGGUGCUGAUCUCCCUCCAUCCUGCUCCUUCGAGUAUCACAUUUUGAUCUGUUUUUUAUGUUAUGUUUGUGCAGUCUCGCUCGUGAUAGAUUGGGUGCACGGAGGCGGAUACCGCAAAGCCGUUGGUGGCGGCGGCGGCAGCGGCAGCUGCGCUGUUGUGGGUCCACUGCUCAACACGGCUGCCCUGCAGGCGCCGAUGGGUGACAGGCGCCAUGGACAUGCUUAUGGAGGCCCUCUUCAGGUGCAGGAAGGCUCCACUGGUACAUGGAAGGGCUUUAUCUCCGGGCCGUAAGCGCCUUUAGUCCGGCUACGGAACCGGGGCUAAGGUUUCGGAACUAAAUGUCCCACCUUCAGUCCCGGUUCCAUAGACCGGGACUAAAGGUCCACCUUUAGUCCCUGUUGGUAACAGCAACCGGGAGUAAAAGGUGCGCCAGGGUGUGCCACCUGGCCUCCACUUUUAGUCCCGGUUGUUGCUACCAACCGAUACUAAAGACUUUUUUUCCUUUUCUUUUCAUUUGGUUUUCCAUUUAGGGUUUAUAAUUAUGUUAUUGUUAUUUUCGAAUGCGUAUUAUUUGCUGGUAGUUUAUGGAACGCGCAC
rnacentral:lncRNA from 1 species